UACGAAGGGGGCUAGCGUUGCUCGGAAUCACUGGGCGUAAAGGGUGCGUAGGCGGGUCUUUAAGUCAGGGUGAAAUCCUGGAGCUCAACUCCAGAACUGCCUUGAUACUGAAGAUCUUGAGUUCGGGAGAGGUGAGUGGAACUGCGAGUGUAGAGGUGAAAUUCGUAGAUAUUCGCAAGAACACCAGUGGCGAAGGCGGCUCACUGGUCCGGAUCUGACGCUGAGGCGGCGAAAGCGUGGGGAGCAAACAGG
rnacentral:rRNA from 1 species